rnacentral:lncRNA from 1 species
UUUAUAGAAGUAUUUACCAAUAAUUGUCAUUUUGAGCUUGGAUAUAAAUGGAAUAAUUGUGAUUUUUAAAUUAUAAAAAUUGAAAAUUUGUGUAUUGAAAUUGCAUGACUAAUUAAGUAUAGGAAUACUUUAGAUAUUUCAUACAUAAUAACUACUUAAAUAAAUAGAUAUACUAAUAAUUAUCAGUUUAAAAUAUAAAAAUUAAUUAAUAUUGAUGACGUUGAGUCAUCUGGGUCCUGGGUCCAUACCAGUGAAUAUUGUCCGCUUUGGCUCAAGGCCGCACGGUUUUGCUUAAAACGCGUCCACUGGGGUUUCAAGGGCAGAGACUUAUAAGGCCUUCUCCCUUUCAACCUCUUUCCGAUGUGGGAUACCUUUUUUAUCCACCCGCACAGGGGGCCUUCCCCCAUACAGGUCUGAGCGUGCUCGCUCAGCGCACCGUACUCGUGAGGACCAGGGUUAUGUUCCCCACAGACGGCGCCAUUUGAUGACGUUGAGUCAUCUGGGUCCUGAGUCCACACCAGUGAAUAUUGUCCGCUUUGGCUCAAGGCCGCACGGUUUUGCUUAAAACGCGUCCACUGGGGUUUCAAGGGCAAAGACUUAUAAGGCCUUCUCCCUUUCAACCUCUUUCCGAUGUGGGAUACCUUUUUGAUCCACCCGCACAGGGGGCCUUCCCCCAUACAGGCCUGAGCGUGCUCGCUCAGCGCACCGUACUCGUGAGGACCAGGGUUAUGUUUCCCACAGACGGCGCCAUUUUCCUCUUCCUGGUCCAUGAUAAAUCUGGUUUUCUUCUGGGUCCCUUCUUGCUGGGCUCCCUGGUGGAUCUCUCCACGUUCUUCCUGGUGAAGGGACCUGUAAAAUAAGAAAGAAUGGUCAGGGGCCUACCGGGUGUACCCCGGCAGAGGCCCUCCGACGCUCAAGUCAGAUUUUAUGGCUCAGAGUAGUAUAUUUGGGCAAGGGUUACAGAAAGAAUAAAAAUGGUGUCCAGGAAGGAAAAGGAAGAAGAGAGAGCCCCCUCUGCGUGGCUUCUACCGUGAUAUAUAUAUCUGUCUCUCUGCCACAAUGCUAGCUGUCUUCUGUCGCCUAGCUCCGUAUGUACGGAUGUGUCAGGCGCCUGCUCCAUGCGUAACGGCCAUUAAUUCUCCUCUGAUACGUAUGAUUCUCCUCUGAUACGCAUGCGGAAGGACCUACCAGCGGGACAUCUUGGUCAUUUUCCCCUUUUCGGGCUGGGUUGAAUGGUAGGGCUGAAGUUGAGCCUGGUGAGGGCCUGAUUACUGGGCCGAGAGGUUUGGGCCGGUUUGAUUGAGGAGUCUAGGCGGAGUCCGGCCCUGUGACUGAGCGGGCUGGACCUGGCUCUCGAGGGGAAUAUUGAAGCCUUUGGAUCAUGGACUGUUUUCAUGGGCCUGGCUUUUAGACCGGGGUGAAGAAAUCCAGCGAUCAUCAAUUAUAUUUUUAAAAGAUUUAUAUAUAAAAAAAAAUUUAAAUUUUUGUUAUUUUAUAAUUUAAUUUAAAAUUUUAAAAAUUAAUAAAAUUAUCUAAAAUUGUCAACUUUAUUACAGUUAUAUCCAAAUUUAAAACUUGAAUAGAAAAAUGUGUGUUUUAUUGGCACAGAU